rnacentral:rRNA from 1 species
AGCAGCCGCGGUAAUUCCAGCUCCAAUAGCGUAUAUUAAAGUUGUUGCAGUUAAAAAGCUCGUAGUUGAACUUCAGACCUGACCGGGCGGUCCGCCUAACGGCGUGUACUGUCUGGCCGGGCCUUACCUCUUGGUGAGCCGGCAUGCCCUUCGCUGGGUGCGUCGGGGAACCAGGACCUUUACCUUGAGAAAAUUAGAGUGUUCAAAGCAGGCUUACGCCGGGAUACAUUAGCAUGGAAUAAUAGAAUAGGACGUGCGGUUCUAUUUUGUUGGUUUCUAGAGUCGCCGUAAUGAUUAAUAGGGAUAGUUGGGGGCAUUUGUAUUGCGUUGCUAGAGGUGAAAUUCUUGGAUUUACGCAAGACAAACUAUUGCGAAAGCAUUUGCCAAGGAUGUUUUCAUUAAUCAAGAACGAAGGUUAGGGGAUCGAAAACGAUCAGAUACCGUUGUAGUCUUAACAGUAAACUAUGCCGACUAGGGAUCGGACGACCUCGAUAUCAUGCGUCGUUCG